GGGAGCGAGCCGUCUAAGGUGGGACAAAUGAUUAGGGUGAACCCGUAACAAGGUAGCCGUAGGAGAACCUGCGGCUGGAUCACCUCCUUUCUAAGGAAACAGACUGAAAGUCUGACGGAAACCUGCUCACACGAAAUUUUGUUUAGUUUUGAGGGGAUCACCCUCAAGCACCCUAACGGGUGCGACUUUGUUCUUUGAAAACUGGAUAUCAUUGUAUUAAUUGUUUUAAAUUGCCGAGAACACAGCGUAUUUGUAUGAGUUUCUGAAAAAGAAAUUCGCAUCGCAUAACCGCUGACGCAAGUCAGUACAGGUUAAGUUACAAAGGGCGCACGGUGGAUGCCUUGGCACUAGGAGCCGAUGAAGGACGGAACUAAUACCGAUAUGCUUCGGGGAGCUAUAAGUAAGCUUUGAUCCGGAGAUUUCCGAAUGGGGGAACCCAGUACACAUCAGUGUAUUGCUUGUCAGUGAAUACAUAGCUGGCCGGCGGCAGACGCGGGGAACUGAAACAUCUCAGUACCCGCAGGAAGAGAAAGAAAACUCGAUU
rnacentral:misc_RNA from 1 species